rnacentral:tRNA from 1 species
GCCGUCGUAGCUCAGUUGGUUAGAGCGUCUGACUGUGGCUCAGAAGGUCAUAAGUUCGAAUCUUAUCGACGGUA